CUAACAAGGAUUCCCCUAGUAACUGCGAGUGAAGCGGGAAAAGCUCAAAUUUAAAAUCUGGCGGUCUCUGGCUGUCCGAGUUGUAAACUAGAGAAGUGUUAUCCGUGCUGGACCAUGUAUAAGUCUCCUGGAACGGAGCGUCAUAGAGGGUGAGAAUCCCGUCUUUGACAUGGACUACCAGUGCAUUGUGAUAUGCUCUCAAAGAGUCGAGUUGUUUGGGAAUGCAGCUCAAAAUGGGUGGUAAAUUCCAUCUAAAGCUAAAUAUUGGCGAGAGACCGAUAGCGAACAAGUACCGUGAGGGAAAGAUGAAAAGAACUUUGGAAAGAGAGUUAAACAGUACGUGAAAUUGUUGAAAGGGAAACGCUUGAAGUCAGUCACAUUGGCUGGAGAUCAACCUUGCUUUUGGAAGGUGUACUCUCUGGUUGAUGGGUCAGCAUCAAUUUUGACCAUUGGAAAAAGGUUAGGGGAAUGUGGCAUCCUUGGAUGUGUUAUAGCCCUUGAUUGUAUACAGUGGUUGGGAUUGAGGAACUCAGCACGCCGCAAGGCCGGGUUUUUACCACGUUCGUGCUUAGGAUGCUGGCAUAAUGGCUUUAAUCGACCCGUCU
rnacentral:rRNA from 1 species